rnacentral:rRNA from 1 species
CUCAGAUUGAACGCUGGCGGCAGGCCUAACACAUGCAAGUCGAACGGUAGCACAGAGAGCUUGCUCUUGGGUGACGAGUGGCGGACGGGUGAGUAAUGUCUGGGAAACUGCCCGAUGGAGGGGGAUAACUACUGGAAACGGUAGCUAAUACCGCAUAACGUCUUCGGACCAAAGUGGGGGACCUUCGGGCCUCACACCAUCGGAUGUGCCCAGAUGGGAUUAGCUAGUAGGUGGGGUAACGGCUCACCUAGGCGACGAUCCCUAGCUGGUCUGAGAGGAUGACCAGCCACACUGGAACUGAGACACGGUCCAGACUCCUACGGGAGGCAGCAGUGGGGAAUAUUGCACAAUGGGCGCAAGCCUGAUGCAGCCAUGCCGCGUGUAUGAAGAAGGCCUUCGGGUUGUAAAGUACUUUCAGUGGGGAGGAAGGCGAUGRAGUUAAUAGCUUCGUCGAUUGACGUUACCCGCAGAAGAAGCACCGGCUAACUCCGUGCCAGCAGCCGCGGUAAUACGGAGGGUGCAAGCGUUAAUCGGAAUUACUGGGCGUAAAGCGCACGCAGGCGGUCUGUCAAGUCGGAUGUGAAAUCCCCGGGCUCAACCUGGGAACUGCAUUCGAAACUGGCAGGCUAGAGUCUUGUAGAGGGGGGGUAGAAUUCCAGGUGUAGCGGUGAAAUGCGUAGAGAUCUGGAGGAAUACCGGUGGCGAAGGCGGCCCCCUGGACAAAGACUGACGCUCAGGUGCGAAAGCGUGGGGAGCAAACAGGAUUAGAUACCCUGGUAGUCCACGCCGUAAACGAUGUCGACUUGGGAGGUUGUGCCCUUGAGGCGUGGCUUCCGGAGCUAACGCGUUAAGUCGACCGCCUGGGGGAGUACGGCCGCAAGGUUAAAACUCAAAUGAAUUGACGGGGGCCCGCACAAGCGGUGGAGCNAUGUGGUUUAAUUCGAUGCAACGCGAAGAACCUUACCUGGCCUUGACAUCCACGGAAUUUGGCAGAGAUGCCUUAGUGCCUUCGGGACCGUGAGACAGUGCUGCAUGGCUGUCGUCAGCUCGUGUUGUGAAAUGUUGGGUUAAGUCCCGCACGAGCGCACCCUUAUCCUU